UACGUAGGGACCAAGCGUUGUUCGGAAUUACUGGGCGUAAAGCGCGUGUAGGCUGCAAUGUAAGUCGGAUGUGAAAGCCCUUGGCUCAACCAAGGAAGUGCAUCCGAUACUGCGUCGCUUGAGUGUCGGAGGGGUCGGCGGAAUUCCCGGUGUAGAGGUGAAAUUCGUAGAUAUCGGGAGGAACACCUGUGGCGAAGGCGGCCGACUGGACGAUAACUGACGCUGAGACGCGAAAGCGUGGGUAGCAAACAGG
rnacentral:rRNA from 1 species